rnacentral:rRNA from 1 species
CUACGGGGCGCACCAGUGGGGAAUAUUGCACAAUGGACGAAAGUCUGAUGCAGCAACGCCGCGUGGAGGAUGACACAUUUCGGUGCGUAAACUCCUUUUAUAUAGGAAGAUAAUGACGGUACUAUAUGAAUAAGCGCCGGCUAACUCCGUGCCAGCAGCCGCGGUAAUACGGAGGGCGCAAGCGUUACUCGGAAUCACUGGGCGUAAAGAGCGUGUAGGCGGAUAGAUAAGUCAGGAGUGAAAUCCUAGGGCUCAACCAUAGAACUGCUCUUGAAACUGUCUAUCUAGAAUAUGGGAGAGGUAGAUGGAAUUUCUGGUGUAGGGGUAAAAUCCGUAGAGAUCAGAAGGAAUACCGAUUGCGAAGGCGAUCUACUGGAACAUUAUUGACGCUGAGACGCGAAAGCGUGGGGAGCAAACAGGAUUAGAUACCCCAGUAGUC